rnacentral:lncRNA from 1 species
CACUAAAUUCUACAAUUGAUGAUGGAAGUAGCACUGAUAAUGUCACGACCCAACUCCAAUCGUGACCGGCGCACGAACUAAUACUAGUCCGGCAAGCCUAAUGACCGAAUUUGACAAACAAUAAAUAUAUGGGUCAUGCUAAACAGUGUCCCUGGGGCACUUGUUAAGCAUCCCUAAAAAGGAAAUAAAAAAUAAAAUUUAUAUUGAAAAGACAACUUUUUAUACUUUUGAGGUAUUGAAUGCACUCAUUUCGAGACAGAAUUUCUAUUUUAACAUGCUUAACUAGUGCCCCGGGGGCACUGUUUAGCAUUUUCCUAAAUAUAUUAUUUCCAAAUGACUAUUUACUUAGAACAAUUUUACUGAAAUUUCGACAAAGUCUCAUCUAUAUUUUCAAUGUUUCCAAAUCAGAAUAAAUCAUGUUUGCAGCAUAUACAUCAUUCGGACAGAAUUUUCAAAAUAUACAUAUUUAAAUUUAUACAUUUCAAAACAAGAUAUUCCUAGACUCAAAAUAGCUUCAGAUACUCGAUCAACUCCAAAUAUACAUAUACAAAAUAGUUUUCAUCAAGAAGGCCUACCAAAAGAGUGACAUUGACAAAUCUUUAACUCUGCUAGAAGCUUUCUAUUCAGUUGACUUUGAAUCUGAAAAAAAAUAUAAGAUGAAGGAGUAAGUCACAAGAACUUAGUGAGAGAUAACAACCAUUACCAACUAGAUGGGAAACACACAAAGGCACGAACAUUUGAUUUUUAGAAAGCUUGUAAUAAUUAUUGUAUAGUAGUAACUACAUAAUAUAAAUAAGGGUCUAACAUGUGCAUAUAAGGCACAUGAUAAGAUAUCUUAAUAUAGAAAUUUAACAUUUAAUGAUACAAGACAUUUAAUGCUUGAAAAGUUAAAAUGCACAAAUUCUAAAGCAUAAUUUCUAUUUUUACUAUCUUAAUAUGUGUCAUAUAUGCACAUGUUAACAUUCUCCUAUAAAUAAUACUCGAUCCAAAUCAUUAUAGAGUUUGAAAUUUGAAAUAAUAAAAAUAUAGAAAUCCAAUCAAAUAAAAAGAAGUCAUAACGAGAAAAUCGAGAGACGGCUCCAUCUCGUUGAUAGCCCAACUCCUAUACUAGUUCCACUACUCAUCCAAGAUAGAUAUCAUUUCUAAAAUUUUUUGAAUCAUAAAGUUUUACCUCAAGGAGUAUCCAUGAACAACUUUCAAGAGAUGGGUUCUCUUCUUCCUUUGAGCACUAACCCCAACCCCAAAAUCAUAUCCAAAAUUACUUGAAGGACUGAGAUUGCUUUGCUUAUAUGUAAAAUUUUCUUCUAGAGUUUAUGAUUUAUGGGAGAAAUUGGUGAUUUUUGAAUGAAAGAAGUGGAAAAAUUGAACUUGAAG